UACGUAGGCAGCGAGCGUUGUUCGGAGUUACUGGGCGUAAAGGGCGCGUAGGCGGCCACCGCAAGUCGACUGUGAAAUCUCCGGCUUAACCCGGAAAGGUCAGCCGAUACUGCGGGGCUAGAGUGGCAGAAGGGGCAACUGGAAUUCUCGGUGUAGCGGUGAAAUGCGUAGAUAUCGAGAGGAACACCUGCGGCGAAGGCGGGUUGCUGGGCUGACACUGACGCUGAUGCGCGAAAGCUAGGGGAGCGAACGGG
rnacentral:rRNA from 1 species